GCUCUCGUGGCGGAAUGGAGUACGCUCCAGUUUGAGGGACUGGAUUAUUGCAGGUUCAAAUCCUGUCGGGAGCA
rnacentral:tRNA from 1 species